CACGUAGGGGGCGAGCGUUGUCCUGAUUUAUUGGGCGUAAAGAGCUCGUAGGCGGCUCAGUAAGUCAGGUGUGAAAACUCCAGGCUCAACCUGGAGACGCCACCUGAUACUGCUGUGGCUAGAGUCCGGUAGGGGAGCAUGGAAUUCCUGGUGUAGCGGUGAAAUGCGUAGAUAUCUGGAGGAACACCGGUGGCGAAGGCGGCGUUCUGGACUGCAACUGACACUGAGAAACGAAAGCCAGGGGAGCAAACGGG
rnacentral:rRNA from 1 species